rnacentral:rRNA from 1 species
AAUGGGGGAUAACGUAGCGAAAGUUACGCUAAUACCGCAUAUGCCCUGAGGGGGAAAGUGGGGGAUCGCAAGACCUCACGUUUUCGGAGCGGCCGAUAUCAGAUUAGCUAGUUGGUGGGGUAAAGGCCCACCAAGGCGACGAUCUGUAGCUGGUCUGAGAGGACGACCAGCCACACUGGGACUGAGACACGGCCCAGACUCCUACGGGAGGCAGCAGUGGGGAAUUUUGGACAAUGGGGGCAACCCUGAUCCAGCCAUGCCGCGUGAGUGAAGAAGGCCUUCGGGUUGUAAAGCUCUUUCGGACAGAAAGAAAUCGCCAUUCCUAACACGAGUGGUGGAUGACGGUACUGUAAGAAGAAGCACCGGCUAACUACGUGCCAGCAGCCGCGGUAAUACGUAGGGUGCGAGCGUUAAUCGGAAUUACUGGGCGUAAAGCGUGCGCAGGCGGUUUAUUAAGACAGAUGUGAAAUCCCCGGGCUUAACCUGGGAACUGCAUUUGUGACUGGUAGGCUAGAGUGUAGCAGAGGGGGGUAGAAUUCCA